rnacentral:lncRNA from 1 species
GAUGAAAGAGAAAGGAUAAGAGAAAAAACAGGGUCAGUGUUCCACAGGCAAAGGCACUGGGGCCAAGACAGAAUCAGAACAGCUCUUGGAAAGAACAGGACCGUGAGAAAGGAUGCAGCCAGUGUCAGGCACCUUUGGUCCUCCCCGGGACACAUCAGUGCCUGAGAAGAAUUGUGGAACCAAUAACAAGACUGAACAGUGAUUGAGUAGGGA